CGUGCCGUCGCCCCGCCCCCUAGCGUCCGGGCGGAGCAUGCGCAGAAGGUCAGACACAGUGUCCGGUUUUCUCAGGGUACAAGUAGAGAAUUGACAGGUGCGUUAAAGCCGAAUCAGACGCCUUGCCUGCUUCCAAUAUAACUAAACUACACGGGAGAUAACCCACAAACUGCAAUCAUCCUGACUUGUUCUGAUUGCCAAAAUAAUAACUCCUUGACUAUUUCCUUGGACUCCCCUCAAGAUGAUUUCAUCCUGAAUAUUUGCCCUGCGGGUGUCUAUAGGUCACGACCUUUCUCCCCUGAGGAAGGACAAGAUGAGGCCCUGUUUCAUCCAUCUGAAUUUUAACUUGCCUGAGGUAUUCCUUCAUACCUGGCAUUUUCCUAGCAUCUGUGACCUACAUCAUCUGUUUACAGCAGCUGCCCAGCACAGAAGUCAAGAGCGAAGAGAAGAAGAGAGAUCGAGAAGGCCGACCUCCUCCGUGAGCCACCAGAGUCCACGUGGGACCCGCAGGCUCCUGUUCUGCAUGGGUUGCCCCUGCAGGACCAGCCCCAGCAAAGCUGAGCAGGUGAAGCCGGCCACCUGCCUCGCCCUGGGGUGCCCUGCGCUACCCAAGUGAUACUCUGGGCCUUGCCCCUCGCCCAGUGUCAUAAAAACUCCCCUACUGCCUUGCCUCAGGGCUCUUCCUUUCUAGUUCUCCCUUGAAGUGACCAUUAGAAGGAUUAGAAUCGUGACCAUUAGACCAUUAGAAUCUUCCCAAGUUAUGUAUCUACACAACAGGGGCCUUCUACAGACAACCAGAGCUCAGGCAGGCUGCAGGAGGCAAUAUUUAGGGGUAGGGGACUCUCUGAAAAUCCUUCUAAUAAAAUUGCUCGCAGCUGACACUCCGUCCUGGCUGGAGGCCACCACUAGGAAGAUGCUCGGAGAGUCGCAGCUUUAUGACCAAGAGGGGUCACUGCCCCCUCAUCUCCUAUUGCCUUGCACAGCCUAAGUCAAGACACUGAGAGUGGGAAUACAACCCAAACCCUUCUAGUCAAUAUCCCUGUUUAUAAAUCGGGAAAGCAAGGGAGAGAGAGGAAGGGACUUGCCCAAGGCCACGUGGCCGCUGAGGCCUAGGCCCCUCUGGCUCCACUCGCUGCCACCCACAGAGGGCUGCCCUGACACCCACCUGUGCUGCCUUGCGCUCUGGUUUACACAGGGCACCUUUCUGGAAGGCAGAGUAAGCUAAAAAUGCCUUGCUGUCAUGACCCCAGCAAAAAGUCACCCUCUCUCCACCUGUCUGGUGGCUACAGUCCCCUUGGUGCCAGGAAAGCCUGCAUUCUUGUCCAUUCAGCAACCCAGCAACUGCUCCGGCUGCCCACACCUCACACCCCAGCCAGACAACUGAGGCCUUGAGUUCUCCCCAAAGGCUGAGAACAUGUCGGGCAGAGUCAGAUGAGGCCCUAUACAUAGGGCUCCUUCACCCAGCGUCCACGCUGGUCAAAGUCUAAACAUACAAGCAACUAGAAUCCCACACCUUCCCUUAAAAAGUGGAUCUGAGCUCUGGACGCAGCUUUCCUCUUCUUCUGGGAGUCACUGGGCCCAUGUUCCUUCCACAGUGUUCCACCUACCACCAGCAGCAUCCCUUCUGGCCCCAGCGGGGCCACCUGCUCCAGGAAGGCCCCAGGCAUGACUAACAAGAUGCUCUGAGAGCACAGCUGAGUCAGACUCAGCCUCUCAGAGGGAUCUGCUCUCGUCAUCACAGGGAGGGACAACAGCCGCUCAUCACCGGGGCCACAAGGCGCCCUGUCCAGCUGAGCAACAGGAGGGCGGGGCUCGGGUCUUGAAGAGUCUAGAAUCUCAGGGGCAGAUACCUGGAUUGUCUGGGGCAACUGGACAGGCCUAAGGGGACUGUUAGGUCAGGCCCAUGCCCCCCUCCGCCCACCUCCGGCAGCUGUGUGAGAAGCCUAGCACUUGUGUACGGGGCAGGGUGUGAGGAUACAUUUGGAAAUGCAUUCACAUUCUGGUCUAUUGGUCCGUGGGAGGGAAGAAGGAAUCAAGAACAACCGUCAGGCCAGAGUUUGCCCCGGCCAGCAGCCGCUAUACCUGUCUGAUGCUCAGGAUACGCAGUGGCUCUCACCAGUGGUAAGUGGAGAGAACCCCCAACUCUGCGAGGCAGAGCUGUGCCUAAAUGCUUGGGGGUGAGCAGUGAGACCGCAUGGCCCUAGGCACCCUCCACCCUCUGGUCUUGUUCUCUGCACAUCCUGUCCCUUCUGACAGCCUCAUUCUGUGUCUGUCUGUCUGUCUGCCUGGCUGGGUGGUCUGCUCCAUGAGGGCCAGGACUGCCUGUCUCAUUCACAGAGCCCCUACUAUGUAAGAUUUCAAACAUGAAGUGAGAGAGGGGGGAAUGUCCAUGCCUGGGCCCGUUCCUAUAAGAGAAGAAAAUGUUGGGGUUCAGGGAGAUUGCAUCUGGAGUGCCAGGGGCACCAGGAAAGGGCAGGGGUGAGUUAAGGCCCAUGGCACAGGCCCAGCUGAUAACACACCCAGUCUCCACCAGUCCACCUGCUUAUUAGCCAGCUCUGUGACCUUAGGCAGAUCAUUCUGUGCCUCAAUUUGACUGUACAAUGGGGGUGGGGUGGGGCAAAAACACCUGCCUUAUUAUCAGCAUAAAAAUAAGAUAAUAGAGGUGAAAGUAUGCUGGAGAGGAUGAAAACUCUUCAAAUCUAAAUCAGCAUGGGAAAUACUACUGAGUAACAGCAAUAUUGAGAUUAACCUUUGCUGCUUGGGAAGCCUAGCGGCCAGAGGCCCAGGGCUCGUAGAGAGAGAGGAGGGCUGGCUCCCAGGGAGAAAAGCUGGAGGAGACGGAAGGUCCGACAGUUGGGCUCCCGGCCUGCCCUACCCUCUCACCAGAUCCUGCUCGGCCUGCUGGAGAGGCGUGGCCCUCCCUGGACGCACCCCACAAUUAGCGUCCCGGCCUUCACAAGGAAGCGAGGGGUCAGGGGUGAGGGAGGGGUGAGUACGUGGGUGUACUGGAGAGGAAGAGUGAUCUGCUACAUUCUGUUCCUCCUCUCUGAGCACGUGUGCACACGCGCGCACAUUCCCUCUCUGCUUUACCUCCUUUUAGGUAAGAGAGGGUUUUUUUUUAAAGGCCUCCUCUUAUAUUUUCUUCUCCCAGCAGUCCCACGAGUUUCUCCACCCGCCACAGCUGUCCUGAAGCCGGGACACCAACUGGGAGCCCCCCGAGCACGGCCUGGGCGGCUAGGACACGAGAGGAUGCCCCCCAGCACCCCCAUGCCUAGGCAGUCAGGGAGACAGAGGUGGUGUGGCCCUCAGAGCAAGAAGCCACCGUGACCUGGAGCCUUUCCCUCCUCCAUGGUGACCCAGCCCAGGUACCAGGGUCUCCAGAGCCCCGUCUGUGACUUCCUGCCCGUCCUGGACACUGUUUUCCUGGCAAAGCCUCUCCCAACAGGCUCGAAAGGCGUGUCCGAGGGACUGAGGCAGCUGGGAGGUUGUGGGGUGGUUCAAGGCAGAAGGGACAUCGAUGUGGCCCCAGAGAAGACAAGUAGGAAUGCUGACAAGGACACCAGCCCCGACCACGCUUGGCUUCCACGCUGUCUUUGCAGAGCCGGUCUUGCCCCCUGGUCUGAGAGGAUGGUGAAGGGCUGUGGCCGGCAGGCCGGUCUGGCCUUUGACCAAAACCCAGCAGACAAUGCGUUCAGGAGGGAAGCGAGCCCCUGGGAGUCCUGACUCACCAAGGCUGGGGCCUCAUGUCAUGAUUGCUCAGCUCUGGCAGCUUCUGUGCCCCGUGGUCCUGCAUCUCCACCCACAGGCAAGGGAACGGGCUGGGGCACCCUGCCACCUGCCCUACCCAGGCUCUCCCUGGAGGAGUGGGCUCUGCCCAGCUUCACCCCGUUGCUGCCACCCACCCCGUCGGGCCGAGGCCGUCUCCUUGGCCCUUGAGGCAGAGCUAUAGUUCGACUUGCUUUUCACUUAGAGCUGGACUGAGACCAUCACACCCACCUUACCCAUGGAGAAAUGGAAGCGGAGAACUGUUCCUUAACUUGCUCACGUUCACUCAGAAAGCUGAGGUACGAUCCCAGCUGUGCCGCCUCCUGUGAAGGGCUCUAAUUCUCUCCAGAAGCAGUUUGUGUGUGUGUCCAUGACCACAGGGAGAAGAGAGGUCUGGCAGUGCAGGGGUGUGGGAAGGAGGACUUGAGCGAGUACGGAGCCACACCAGCUGUCUAGUCCACCUCCAGGUAUGGGCCCAUGGCCUCCAGACGCCCUAGGGCCCGGCUGCUCAAUACCUACUCUGGGGUCAUCCUCAAGGCCAAGAGAUCCUUCUCCGGGCCAGACAGGGCACCUCGCCCCGCUGAGAGGAAGGAGGCCCUGGGGAGAGAGGGGGUUGCUGCAGGGCAGGGGAGGGAAGGACUGAAUGCUGACGGAGCUUGCUGGGACCAUUCUCAUCCCUGAGAAGAGACUGGAUUUCCUGGGAUCCGGCUGUGGCUCAGAAAGGGAUGGGCUCCCCUCCGAAGCCUCGGCCUCAGUGUUCUCUACGCAUCACCUGCCGCUUCUCUGAGGCCUCGGUUCAUGGUGAGGACCACCCAACAGGCUGAGACGUGCUGCAGGCAGAGAGGGACAGCAAGUGCAGCCAGGAGGCGAGGGUGGAGGAAGUUAGUCAGCUGGGCUGUGACAGUGCUCACAGACCACACUGGAGAGCCAAGGGUCGCCCCGGCCGGCCACUGACAGGGGCUCCAGACUCCAGCAGCCGCUCCGGCCCCUGUGGUCAGGGGGGUUAGGUUUGGAUGGCGGUCAGCCAUCUUGGCGCCCUGCCUGGACUCCAGAGACCAGCGGGACCGUUUGUCAGCCUCUCUGGGUCCACUCUGGAGCACAGCACCUCCUCCUCAGCUCUUGAGUUUGGGAGGGUGUCGCCUUCACUGCCAUGCCCCAACAGGGCUGGCCUGGGAACACAGCAUCCCGGUUAAUUCAUGUUAAUGAUAAGGCUCCCCAGGGACCAUCACGCCUGCCCCCCUGCCCGUAGGAACAGCCCUGGCCACACCCGACUGUUUAUCUCCUGUGCUCUGGGAAGAAAAGCAGGACGGCCCCUCCCCCGCACCCCUCC